GAUCCUGGCUCAGGAUGAACGCUAGCUACAGGCUUAACACAUGCAAGUCGAGGGGCAGCGGGAUUGAAGCUUGCUUCAAUUGCCGGCGACCGGCGCACGGGUGAGUAACGCGUAUCCAACCUUCCGCUUACUCGGGGAUAGCCUUUCGAAAGAAAGAUUAAUACCCGAUGGUAUCUUAAGCACGCAUGAGAUUAAGAUUAAAGAUUUAUCGGUAAGCGAUGGGGAUGCGUUCCAUUAGGCAG
rnacentral:rRNA from 1 species